AGCGUUGACACUCUAUACCAGUUGGCGGCGGUAAUGCUCACCUAAAUGUUUUUUGCCAACCGCCAAUAAAAAAUCAAGAAGAAGAAGAAGACUAAGCGUCAGGUUCUCGAAAGCCAUCCAUGUUAGUAGACCUUGCAGUGUUGCGGUGAAGGACUAAAAUGGCGUGCUGAAAAUAUUUUAAUGAAGCCAACUCUAGAAAUGAACAACGUAGGAACAGGAUUGGAAAACAGCCAAGGAACAGAUGACGCCCCACAGGAGGAACACAAACCUGGAACUUAAGUACAAUGGAAUCAAUGGAAAAUGCUUAACACAGUUAGGAGGGUUAUCCAGGAAACAGUCCAGGGUCAUACGUAGAGGAGCAGACUGUCACAGGCUCAUUUCUUCUCCUGCCAAGCUCCAUCAUGUAAGUUGCUCAAACCCACAACUUGGAUUCAGUGCCACCUCCCAGAUUUAAGUGGUUCCUGAUUUUGAGCCAGCCGGUUUCCAGCCCAUCUACACCUGUUGCUUUAAUAAAACUCUUAAAUGAUUCAUCC